UGAAAAUCAGCAACGUGGUGGCCUAUUUGU
rnacentral:piRNA from 1 species